rnacentral:rRNA from 1 species
CCUACGGGUGGCAGCAGUGAGGAAUAUUGGUCAAUGGACGCAAGUCUGAACCAGCCAUGCCGCGUGCAGGAAGACGGCUCUAUGAGUUGUAAACUGCUUUUGUACGAGGGUAAACGCAGAUACGUGUAUCUGUCUGAAAGUAUCGUACGAAUAAGGAUCGGCUAACUCCGUGCCAGCAGCCGCGGUAAUACGGAGGAUUCAAGCGUUAUCCGGUUUUAUUGGGUUUAAAGGGUGCGUAGGCGGUCGGAUAAGUUCGAUGUGAAAUCCCGAGGCUCAACUUCGGAAUUGCCUCUGAUACUGUUCGGCGAGAGAGUAGUUGCGGUAGGCGGAAUGUAUGGUGUAGCGGUGAAAUGCUUAGAGAUCAUACAGAACACCGAUUGCGAAGGCAGCUUACCAAGCUACUUCUGACGUUGAGGCACGAAAGCGUGGGGAGCAAACAGGAUUAGAUACCCCAGUAGUC